GGAUGGACGAUAAAAAUAAGUUUAUCCCAAAAGCAGUCGCUCCUGAAAAUAGAAAGACAAGAAUCUAUCCCUCUUCAGAACCUAAGGAAACGGAUAAACCAAAA
rnacentral:lncRNA from 1 species